rnacentral:rRNA from 1 species
UGCCCGCGCACCCGGGAGGCGGCGGACGGCUCAGGACAACGGUUGCACCCCCCGCGGCGGUCCCUGCUAGCCGGACACCGCUGGCAACCCGGCGCCAAGACGUGCGCGCAAGGGCGGGCGCCCGCGGGCGAGCAGCGUGACGCAGCGACGGCCCGCCCGGGCUUCCGGGGCAUCACCCGGUCGGCGCGGUCGCGGCGCGCCGGGGGCCCGACGCCUGGCGGAGAAUCAGGGUUCGACUCCGGAGAGCGGGCCUGAGAGACGGCCCGCACAUCCAAGGACGGCAGCAGGCGCGGAACUUGCCCAAUGCGCGCGCGCGAGGCAGCGACGGGGAGUGCGCGAGCGAGGCGGGCCCACAGCCC